AUCGCUAUAGCCAAAUGGUUAUGGCGACAGAUUAGGAUGUAGCAAUUUUCACUCAUCUGUUCCCCUUUGAGGGCGCAGAUUCAAAUCCGGCUGGUGUCG